AUGGCAGAGAAUCACGCCCAGAAUAAAGCCAAGCUCAUCUCUGAGACCCGGAGGAGGUUCGAAGCUGAGUAUGUGACAGGUGGGUACUCUGUUCCAGGUAUUAAGAAAGGUGUGCAGUGAGCAUCCCCAACUUUGCUGGAGUGUUUGUGAGUGUAUUUGUGGGAGGUGUUAGGGACCCUUUCGACCCUCACAGGAAUGAUGCUGGGCACGUCUCAAAGGUUUUCCUCUCCAUGACAAGCCGUGUGCACUGCUUCAAAUGGUCAAGUGGUGUGUCCCAUGCUCCCUUUAAAGGGUUAAUGUAAGUUGGAAAUCGGUUAAGUUUUUAGCAUGCCCUCGUGUUUAUGGAACUUGCAGGAUACUUGUUAGGCCCACAACACGGGUGACAUUGUCCAGUCCACGGUUCCACUGCUGGCCUUUCACCAGCAACACUAGCGAAAAUGUACCUGGAAACUGCCAUAAUACUAUUGAUGUGUACUUAAUUGGGUAUACAAAUUCCUUGGAUAUUUUGUUUGAUUUGGCUUUCAUACAACCCAGCAUGCUACCCACAAAAUAGGCCCUCCAAUGCUGGAACAAGUUCUUAUCCCAAACUGUAUCUUGCAAAGUACCUAUGAGUCCAGAAUUGAUUUAUUGGUUGAACAUUCUGUGUCCAGAUGUCACAGAUACUUGAGUUGUCAGGUACUUAACUGAAUAUUUAAUGCUUGUACAGUAAUUUUGUAAAACAUACGGAAUAACUUAUUGUAAAUAUGGAAUUAAAUAAGGAUUUAUAUGUUGCCUA
rnacentral:lncRNA from 1 species